GCCACACUAUUAUCCGAGUAGAACACUAUAGGUAUUAAUUAUUGCACUUCACUUAUCCUUGUGUCGUCCAUAGAGCGCACGAUGUUGUGAUGUGUUUGUUUAGCUGUAUGUUUACAAAACAAUUUUGAGGAGAAUAUCCCUGCCAUCCUAUACUUCCUAAUUAGGAUAUAGAAAUUAUAAGUUCUGUUCGGGACACGUGAAUACAUUUUGAGCGUUGGGAAUAGCAUCAAUGUCCCCGUGUUCUGUAAAGUUAGAGGGCCAAUCAAAAUAUCGACCAUUUCUAUACGAACGGGAUGUACUUCUUCAUGGUAUUUCUUUUUGUACGUGUCUGGAGUCAGAUGUGUGAACAUGGUUGUUGCUUAGACUUUGUCUGGAAUGCGGAGCUAAAUAGAUGCACACCUUGCGUGGAUGGAUAUCACGGCAAAAAUUGCACCAGGAGAUGUCCUUAUCCCUAUUUUGGAGAGAAAUGCCGUGAUAAGUGUAAAUGUCCCGUCGGUGAUUGUAAUCAUGUGUAUGGUUGUAAAACAUCUGAAGGUAAUCAUCCAUGUGUAUCGUUGGGUGGGGUGGGGGUAAUGUUCAUCAUGGAAUUAAACAAUUUAAGUAUAUAAGCAUCAUUUUGUCAUUAUCAACAUUUAGUAAGCUAUAACUUUUAUCAGUGACUCUAAAUUACUGUAUUUCAACCAUUUUGCAAGAUCCCCAGAUUUGAGGGUGUUGAUUUUCAUAUUCAAAUAAAGCUUUUUCAAGCAAAUUUUCAUUCAGUUCAAAUACAUAUGCAAGCAACCACUGGAUGAAAACGCUAGUUUCCGCAAAACUGAAACCAUAUGGAAACCUUGCGGAAACCUGACGUUGAGGUUUCCCAUAUGGUUUCCGCAGUGCGUAAACGAUUAUAUAGUUUCCGCAAGUUUCCGUCAAGUUUCAAUCUGCGGUAACCUGAAGUUGAGGUUUCCCGUAUGAUUUACGCCGUGCGAAAACGAUUAUAUAGUUUCCGUCAAGUUUCAGUCUGCGGAAACUGUAGGCUUUGAUUCCUAAUGGUUUCCGCAAUGCUGAAACUUAACAAAAAUUCGGAGGUUUUUAAAGUAAUAAUUUAAUAUGCAAUAAAUAAUUCAAAUGCGAAUUUAAAAAGCACACAAAAAACUUAAAAAUGUAAGUGAAAAAAGAAUAGUAAGCACUUUAUAUACAUCAUAUUGUUAUAAGAAUUGUUUCAGUUAAACAAAACAGAUAUGAAAUGAGAUACAGAAAACAAAGUAUAUUCCGUGUGUUGUUACGUUUGACAAGCUAGCAUGCCUGUGUACAUCAGUUAAUCCCUCCGUGUAUUUCUUGUUAGUUCCAUGUUAAUUGCAAGGAUUUUCCUCCGUCAUGGGAACAAUAGAGAUAAAUACACAAGGUAAACUAGAAGAAUAAUGUCCAACUUUGUCACCGCAUAGAAACAAAGAUCGAAGUUCAUUGUAAUUAAAAAUAAGUGCAUAUGUGGGGUUGGGGUUGAAUUGAACAUAAACCUUCAACUGGGACAUUUAUAUACAGUCAUGUAUUUACGCAGAUUUUACGUUGCAUGUGCAUUACUAAGAAUGUAGAUUUUUUUUAUUUUCAUAAUUUCAAAACUAUGAAUACUAUAAAUUAAGAUUUCAAACACUAAUACUAUAGUCAGAUGGUAGAAUUAGACACAUAUGUCUGCGUGUGAAAUACGUUCGCAUAUGCAAGUAAUUACAUGAAAUAUGCCAAUUGGAAUAUGUUUUCGAAUAUGCUCAAUUGAUUGAUUUAGCAAUCAAUAUGUAAUUUGCAUACAUGUAUAAUUAUGCAUGCAUGUCAAUGGGUGUUUUGAUUUUAUCAUAUGUUAUAAUAGUAUCAAGGAUAUACAAUGUGAUUAUAGGCAUAUGUUCUGAAAACUUAUGUUGCCCUCUCUCUACAUACAGUGUACAUGUAGAUUAUGACAUGUGUACAUACAUUAUUACAUAUAGGCACAGUACAUUUUAGGACAUUAUACAUGUGUAAUAGUAUUAAUAUUAUUUGUUUAAGAACAUUUCAAUUCAAAGCUUAACUGAAUCUGUCAGGUUUUCUAAUAUAUCUUUGAAAAAUACAAAAGAAUUUAACACAAUACGAAUCAUCGUCUCAUAAAACAUAUGGUGUCAACGGUUUGAGUUUUAUCAAGUCCAUAAAAAUGACCGAAGAAAUCCUUCCUAGCCUUUGCGAAUUUCGGACAGAAGAAAAAAAAUAAUGGUAUGCAUCUUAUACUUAUAAUAUACACAUGAACAUAACGAGGUUGCAGUAAUAGAUCAUUGUUCAUAGUACACAAUUAUGACAAAAUCUAAUACCUAGAUGUACCACCAUAAGUGGUAAUUUAGCUUGCCGCUUUAUUUAUGUUUUAUAAUUUGAGAUUGAUUGAGCAUUUCUAAUACCAAUAGAAAGGCAGUUGACCUGUAAGGAUGUAAUGCUUCCUUCAUUUUAUCGACAUCAAAUGAAUAUUUUACGCCUAUGGAAUCGACUCGUUACAAUGCCGGACGACAGGCUUACGAAAACAAAAUUCAUGUGGGAUAUGGAAUAAUCACACAACAUAAAUUGGUCAAAUACAGUCAAAUUCCUUUUUGAAUCUCUUGAUAUGACAGUAUAUUUCCUAAAUCGUAUGGUCUGUAACUUGAACACAGUGGAAGAAAAACUUCGUAGGGAUUUUAUGAAUGGCUGGAAUGAAGAGGUCCAUAACGUUCCAAAACUUAGAACCUACCGACCGUAAAAAUAUGAGUGAUUUUCAAACAGAAAAAUAUGUAAUCAUGGAUAUUCCAAAAAGUCAUCGUUCUAUACUUGCCUAGUCCAGAUGUGGUGUCUUACCUAUAAGAAUUGAAACAGGACGGUAUAAGGGGGAGGCGUUAUCGGAUAGACUGUGUACUUUAUGUUCUUCAGAUAGUGUAAAAUAUUUUUACUUCAUUGUUCCUCUUAUUCAAAUCUUAGAGUAAUCUUUUUUACCAGUAUCGGAUUUAACCCCACUGUGAUCAAUAUGUCAGAUUUAGACAAAACAAAAUUUCUAUUAUUAAAUUUCCCAAGACAAACUGCAAAAUUCCUGUUCUCCGCAUACACCUACAGACAGUCUAUCAUAUACCAUAAUAGUAUAAGUCAUGCGUAAUACAUGUACCACUGUAUUUAUUAUUUAAUGUGGGGGGGUCUGUUAAAAGUGACAUAUAGGCCCGAUGGGCCGGGUGUUUAAAUUCCUAUUAUUCUGUUUAAUGUAUUUUUCAAUUCUGUAAUGUAUAAAACACAUGUCACUAUAAUAAAUCAUUUACUUACUUACUUACAUUCCUAGAUGUAUUUGUGUUUGAUUAUGCAGAUGAAUUUUAAAUUACAUCGCAUGUUUGUAACAUUUGGGCACUAAACUGUAUGCGAAUAUUUGUCGCAUAUAGUACUUGUUCACAAAAUUCAGGACUAGUUAAUUUUGGAAUCAGCAUAUCUUAUAAUAUGAAUUUAAUGCAGUGCAGUUUGAAACCAUGCAAAGUUUCACACAUUAGAAAUGAAUUCAGCAUUCUAAUACAAACAUGCACUGAUGAACACUUCUCAAUUUAAGUUCUUGAGAGUACAUAUUGUAACCUGAAAGUCUAUUUACUGUUAUUUUGAAGUUUGAAUCUAAACCUACAACAUUUGCAAAAUCUGCAUCUACUCAACAAUACAAUUCGGUGUGCAUUAUUUCGACAAUAAGUUCUAUGGGGAUGUAUUCUACACAACUCGAUCUAGAACUCGGGUAUUGGUAGUAAAUUAAAGCAAAUCUAAUUAGAUAAUAUCUUCACCCUCUCUAUAUUAUUAUAACCCUCAACAAUAUAUAUCCAUGCACUUUGGAAGUGAUAUCAUACAAAUGAACAUGAUAUAAGCAUACAAUAAUCGGCAAACUUAGAAGCUCUCAAAUGUGUACUGUUGAUUUGAAAAAAAAAUAGUUACGAAUUUUUCACUUCAUACAUUUAUCACUGUUGCAUUCAUAUGGGAAAUAGGUUACAUGGAUAUUUUCACACAUAUUCAUUUUGAAAUACGAACUCAAUAACAUAAGGUAUACUGUCUACAUUUCAUAUUCAUCUUAUUCUUUUAUGUAAGCAAAUGAUGUAAACUUCUUUUUCAGAGAGAGAGAGAGAGAGAGAGGGGGUACAUAAGUAUUAUUUUCUUGGUAACAUAUUUUGAUAACUAUAAUACAUGAUGUACAUGUAUAUCUAGAUAUGAUUUACAAUGUAUAUAUUGAUCAAACCGAUCAACACACAAAAAAGAAAAGAAAAAAAAAAGAAAGAAAAAAGAAACACAAACGUAUUUGAUGAAAAAGUACAUAUAGACCUACAUGUAUAUACUGAUCAUGCAUAUGAGUUUUCACAUAUUCUCUGCCAGUGAAUUUCAUAAUCAUCAUGUCUACAGUUUCUUAGCAGCAAGUACUUCUCAACCACAAUUCUGUCCGUAACUAUUUUUCUAAUCGCAGAUAUAUGUACUUGCGGACUAUUUUGAUAUUUACAAGGAAAAAUAUAUUGUUUUACUACAAGCAAAUCAAAUUUGAAUGUCUUACUGUUAAUUUUUAUUAUACAUUUGUAGAAUCAAUAUUUUAUUUUUACUGACAUGCAUCCCGACUGAGAUAUUAAUUAGAGAAAAAGAAACUUAAGCAAUUACUUGAAUUUAGUAUAUAGUUCCUGUGUUUCAUCUAUCAUCUAAGGAUUUCAACGGUUUAGUUCAGUAAAAAUUGAGACUCCAGUAGUUAAGAAACCACUUUAAAUGAAAGUAGAUGGUUGAGGGGCACACGUACAUGUACAUGUGUUUACAAAUAUCCUUGACAAUUGCGAGGCGAAAUCAAUGUGUUGCUAAGAAAAAAGCAGUUCAUUCUUCAAAACAUUUAUCUCACAUGCAGAAUGUCCAGUCUUGUAUAUACCCUUGCUUUAUAGCUCAUAUUGUGAGAACAGAGAAAAGUCGGGCAGAAGAGGGGCACCUUAUAAUACCCCAUAAAGAUGCAGAAGAAAGUUUGUGUGACUGUAUGUUACACCGGUAUUGAGUUUAUUUCAUGAUUUUUAGACCUCUAAUAAACGUAAACUUUUCAUUAUAAUACAACAUAAAGCACACUACAGAUUAUUUACAUUUAAAAUUGUAAACAAAGGGCGGCCAUUUUGAACUUAGGGUCGCAGGGAUGCUAUUUUAAAAAAUCCUAUGAUAUAGAAAAACGAUGCAGAAAUUUAACACAUGCAUGAUUUUUUAAAUUCAGACGUUUGUGAAACAAUUUACACGCAAAAUAAAUUAUAUAUCUAUAAAAGUAUGUUUUCCCAUAAAUCCUCUCCUGAUACCUGAUUGGUUGUAAUUUUCGGCGGGCAAAAUUGAUUGCUGUUUGUGAGAGAAAACCUAGCGUGACUCAAAUGGAACCAUGUCAUGUUUUGAGUGAAUGGAAGAUACAAAGAUUUUUCUGAGAAUAGGAGACGUCUACUGUUGUUGGGCAUCAUUCAGGUAUGUCUUUUAGAGGGUAUUGAGUAAAAAUUUCUGGAACUUUUUAAAACAAUCUUCCAUUAUGCAUCCUCACUGAAUAUUUUAGUAUGAGUCUGUCCAUAGCCAAUACUGGCAAUUGCCGUCUCAUUUAAACGAUUUCUGACGGGAUAGCAUGUUAUCUCUGACUAUACAAAUUUUCCUUUUCUCAUAAAAGAGCAAUGCUAUUUAAUAUUCAUUUCAUAAUCACAACAGAACACAUCAAAACAUGCUUGAUAUUCACCUUUUAGAAUUUUAAAUACAAAAAAAAAAAAAAAAAAAAAUAUCCUGUCCCGAUUCGGAAACAGAACGUUAUCUAACAUAUUGUAAUGAUUCCGGAUAUUUGAGGUACGACCAUGCGGAGUUCUCAAUUAGUCACUUUACAUCACGUGAUCUCAUUUGUAUAUAAAUACCGAGACUCCCCAGUCGUCAGUGUCAUUCUGAUAGAAGACCCAGCCAAGUUGAGAGGACGAGAUUAUGUGUACUAAUAAAGUAUUCAUAGUAAACAAUUCCUCGCCUGUUCUUACAGUUAGAGAGUGAAUUUGGAAGGCCAUCAGAAGUCUGGCCUGCCACGAAGAGGUUGACCUCCAGUAAUGAGGCUAGCCAUAAUUCGUUUUUGGUGUCGUCCGCAUUGGCUGAACAGACCGUCGUCCAGGCCCCUAUACUCAUUGUCCGUCCUGAAUAAGGCAUCCUACAGUGAGUGUAGUGGUUCAAGGGCUACCACAUAUACUGUCCGUCCUGAAUAAGGCGUCCUACAGUAUAUGGGGUAAUCCGAGGGCGACUGGGCUCUACAUUUUGUUAAGUUAGCACUAACCGUUAUCGUUGCUUGCCUCUGAUUGAUAUAGUGAUUCUCUGUUUGAUUAUAAUAUACCUAGAUAAGGUUAGGACAUAUUUGUAUAUUUUGGCAGUCCACUAAAAUCAUAUCAAUUAGUUUAAAUUAGCUAUUGUUCAAUACCCCAAACCCUGGAAUUGACCAGGUACGAUCCCAGAAGUUAAUGUGAAUACGUUACACUAUUCUUUCUCUCUAUAUAUCAUUGUAGGUAUUUCCAGUGUUGACUUGAUACAUUUUCAUUCACGAUGUUGCGGAUGCAUCAUUGCAUUUGCAUGGGGUAGUGCAUAUGUUGUGUGUGGCCUUCUAAACGAUAAAUCUAUGGAUUAAAGGAUGAACAGGUCGAUGCAGGAAUAUAGUCUUUGAGAAAUUUAGUGGGGGGGGUGGGGGUUAUUACGUAUAAUACUGUAUACAGUAAUGUAUGUAGGGACCAAAUGAUAUUACGACUAUUGCAUAUUAGCCAUACAAAUAUCUACAAACUAUUUCCAGUUAACCAUCCGAAUUGUUUAGUCCUAGAAAUAGUUUCUAUUCUCAAUUAUGGUGCAGCAUCAAAUUAAAUCCCUCAGCAUUAGAAGUGAAAGGCACAGGUGUUUUAGGCAUGCUAUUAAAACCAAAGGCCCCAUAUCACGGUAGGUAUUGGCACGAUAAAGAAUCCUCACUGCUACACAGCUAAGUUAAGGCUAAUCCCCCCCAAAAAAAAGUCUCAGUGCUGUACAUAAAUCUACCUUCAAGUUGAGCAAUGCACUUCACACCAUACAAUGUCACAAUGAAAAAGUAAGGCACAACGCACAGGGCUAUAUAUUCAUAUCAUUGGGAAAAUGUUGCAAUAUUUUACCUGUAUUGACCAAGGCUAUCAAGUUCUAAGCUGUAUACAAAUUUGUUUAAAAUUUUCUGUCAUAUGACAUAUUUUUCUCUUUGGUAUUGUAACAAUUUCAAAUUUUCAGUAUAGAACAUGUGCAAAGAUAUUAUUCAUAUGAUUGAUUGAUUGAUGUUUUCCGCCACACUCAACAAUUUUUCAGUUAUAUGGUGGCGCCCAGUUUUUAUUGGUGGAAGAGAGAACCCAGAUACAGUGUACCUGGGAAGAGGCCAUCGACCUUCCGAAAGUAAACUGGGAAACUUUCUCACUUAACGGCAUGAGCAGGAUUGGAACCCUCGCCAACAGAGAAUCCUGAAAUGAUCUUGUACAUGUAAAUGCAUGCAGUGGUGGAUCCAGGAUUUGUUAAAGGGGGGAUAGGGCUCCAGGGUUUUGAGGCUUUUUAGAACUAGAUGAGCAGAAGAUGCAUUCCAUGACUGACUCCCCAUAUGAUAUGAAAGACAGCCCAUGAGAAUGGAACCAACUUUCAGUGUUACAAUGGAUGAACACUCCUCCUGUCACUAGUCCAUCUUGAUUCAGUAAAGUGGUAGUCUAUUCAUCUAGGAAGCAACAAGACGGAUCUGGACAAGGACCAUAGUGACUCAAGUGUUGGUGUUAGAAGACCAUUUUGAUUAAACAUGUUAAAAGCACCACAGAAGUAAGAAGCUAGGAUACCAGUUUUAUAAACUAAAGAGUCGAAAGGCCCAGCUGGAGAGAGAUUCCCAUUUCUCGACCAAGGACCAAAAAAAAGAUUAAAAAGGUGCUGACUAACGAGGCAACGUCUCCAGAAGUAACGGAUGAUGAGGAAGCCACCCAGAGGAAGGUUUUACCAUUUAUAUGGGAGUCAUCCCUGCUGCGUAAUGUUAGGUGCGACCUGGACAGAGAGUAUGCUGAAACUUUGCAACUUCAAUCAAAGAGACAAAAAGCCAAAGCCAUUAGAAGUAGAACGGAAAUGACUAUGACCCGACCACCUAGGAGCAUUCAAGAAUGGGGCGUUUCCUCUACUUAUAAAUGAUGCUAAUACUGUUAAUAGCUAUAUUUAAUUUCCUCAUUUCUAGCUCACCUGAGCCAAAGGCUCAAGGUCACAAUUAAUAAUAUUAUACCGUUAUAACCAGUUUUUAUGAAAUUUUAAUAAUGCUGUUGAAGGAGAAUUGCAAUUUUUCGGAUGUUUAUAAUUGAUACUGUUUAAGUAUGUCUAGCAUCUUAAAAAGUGUGAUGACCUAUAUAUUUCAUUUGAUAAUUUAUUAAUUUUAACUUUAAUAAAUUGAAAUAAAUGCAUAUUUGAUACUUUUAUCAGAGAAUAUUGUAAAUAUGGAGUUACCUUGAUGUAUUUAUACAGAUUUGUUCUGCUUUAGUACUAGUGUAUCAGUAUUAUUACAUCAAGUUCAUUUGUGUGAAUAUUAUAAUAUUUAAGAAUGAAUAAAACUGUCAAAUUGUG